rnacentral:rRNA from 1 species
CAGUAGCCGCGGUAAUACGUAGGGGGCAAGCGUUAUCCGGAAUUACUGGGUGUAAAGGGAGCGUAGACGGUUAAACAAGUCUGAAGUGAAAUGCCGGGGCUCAACCCCGGAGCUGCUUUGGGAACUGUAGAACUGGAGUGUCGGAGGGGUAAGCGGAAUUCCCAGUGUAGCGGUGAAAUGCGUAGAUAUUGGGAGGAACACCGGCGGCGAAGGCGGCUUACUGGACGACAACUGACGUUGAGGCUCGAAGGCGUGGGUAGCAAACAGGAUUAGAUACCCCGGUAGUCCCUGUCUCUUAUAC